UGGGGACUUCUGUUGACGGGCGUCCCCUGACCCCUUGCGCUGACCGUUAGUAGCUUAAACGCUAACUACGAUAGCACGCGCCUAAUCGUUAGCUCUGUUUGGAACUAACGUGUUAGCGUGUGUAAACUCAUUGUAUUGGCUUACAUUUUUCCUAUUUAACGCAUAGGCUUCGGACAAGCGUGGGAAUCUUUACACUGCUGUCUACUUUCUUUUAUCACCCCCGCUCCAAAAUUGUAUUAUGGAGGUGCCGGGAGUUGAACCCGGAUCCAGCGGAUUAUUGCAUUGCCACUUGUUUAUUGUCAUAGCUAAGUUAGC
rnacentral:tmRNA from 1 species